GACGAACGCUGGCGGCGUGCUUAACACAUGCAAGUCGAACGGAAAGGCCCUGCUUUUGUGGGGUGCUCGAGUGGCGAACGGGUGAGUAACACGUGAGUAACCUGCCCUUGACUUUGGGAUAACUUCAGGAAGCUGGGGCUAAUACCGGAUAGGAGCUCCUGCUGCAUGGUGGGGGUUGGAAAGUUUCGGCGGUUGGGGAUGGACUCGCGGCUUAUCAGCUUGUUGGUGGGGUAGUGGCUUACCAAGGCUUUGCCGGGUAGCCGACCUGAGGGGGUGACCGGCCACAUUGGGACUGAGAUACGGCCCAGACUCCUACGGGAGGCAGCAGUGGGGAAUAUUGCACAAUGGGCGGAAGCCUGAUGCAGCAACGCCGCGUGCGGGAUGACGGCCUUCGGGUUGUAAACCGCUUUCGCCUGUGACGAAGCGUGAGUGACGGUAAUGGGUAAAGAAGCACCGGCUAACUACGUG
rnacentral:rRNA from 1 species